rnacentral:rRNA from 1 species
UACGUAGGUGGCAAGCGUUGUCCGGAUUUACUGGGCGUAAAGGGAGCGUAGGCGGACUUUUAAGUGAGAUGUGAAAUACUCGGGCUCAACUUGAGUGCUGCAUUUCAAACUGGAAGUCUAGAGUGCAGGAGAGGAGAAUGGAAUUCCUAGUGUAGCGGUGAAAUGCGUAGAGAUUAGGAAGAACACCAGUGGCGAGGGCGAUUCUCUGGACUGUAACUGACGCUGAGGCUCGAAAGCGUGGGGAGCAAACAGG